CCUACGGGAGGCAGCAGUGAGGAAUAUUGGUCAAUGGGCUUACGCCUGAACCAGCCAAGUCGCGUGAGGGAAGACUGCCCUAUGGGUUGUAAACCUCUUUUGUCAGGGAGCAACGCCGGCUACGUGUAGCCGGACUGAGAGUACCUGAAGAAAAAGCAUCGGCAAACUCCGUGCCAGCAGCCGCGGAAAUACGGAGGAUGCGAGCGUUAUCCGGAUUUAUGGGGUUUAAAGGGUGCGUAGGCGGAAUGCCAAGUCAGCGGUAAAAUCGCGGGGCUCAACCUCGCUCCGCAGUUGAUACUGGCGUUCUUGAGUGGGCGAGAGGUAUGCGGAAUGCGUGGUGUAGCGGUGAAAUGCAUAGAUAUCACGCAGAACUCCGAUUGCGAAGGCAGCAUACCGGCGCCCAACUGACGCUGAAGCACGAAAGCGUGGGUAUCGAACAGGAUUAGAUACCCUGGUAGUC
rnacentral:rRNA from 1 species